CUGUAUAUAGCUAUACGGGUUACAGGGGGGAUCUGCAUAAUCUGGUCUCAGUCGAAAAUAUAAGCUGACUCGCAAUUGAUCGGUUAUUCUAAAUUAUGUGAACUAGUGAUCUAGCCAGGAGUGUUUGGAAAACCUGGAUUACUUUAGAGCUAGUAGGAGUCUCUCCGUUUUACUCGGUUUUCAUAUCGUAGUCAUGACUCUAUGGUCCAUUUUGCUAGGGAUGCCACAGAUUAAGAUAAUUUUGCCACAUGUAUGUCUCCCCAAGUUGAUCAUAAUUGAUAAUUUAUGAUCAAUUUGUUCAUAGGCUCUACAAAGUUUUGCUUCUAAUUAAGCUCCUUAUACUUAUAAACAAUACGAUAAAUUAUGAAUCGAUCGCUAUUGUAAGUGACUAUUUACUACGUAGGAUGUUGGCCGAAAAUUAAUAAAGAAUCAAAAUCACGUGGCCUUUAUUUUCAAAAGAAGUUUAUUAACCUUUUAUUAACUUGUCAAGGAUAUGUUUUUUUAUAUAUUUAGUACGUUUUAUUUCCUUUUUGUUGUCUCUCAGUGCCUGUACCACCAGCCAUUGAAACAAAAUACUUGGUCUUGUGGGAGUGAGAUGCAGCUACGCGCAGUGUCAGCUAUCUCGCUUCCAAAACGGGAUCAAUCCCAGGGCACAUAUUAAGCUCGCAGGAGGCUGCGAGUACUUUUUGUUCCCCCGGACGAGCCACAUCCUGCCCGGUUCAUUGAUAUCAGAGUAUAUUGUGGUACCGAGAGAAAAACUAGACGAGUUGUAUGCGGAUAUGCGCGUAAGGAUAGGAAAUUGGUUUUGAAUGAGUAUGCAGAGGUAUUGAGUGCAAAAAGGUUUAUAGGAAAGCCAUGAAUGAGAUCUGCAUGUGAUUUAGACGUUAAUUACUACUAGCUUCAUAUUAGAAACAUGGUUUUCUGCAACGUUAUUAAACUUAUUCGUUUUUCUGCUACGGUUUUAUGUUGACAAAGUUAUGAAGAGUUUUUUGAAGAUAGUUGAAAAUUAGCAGAACUUUAAAUGUUCAAAUCUUCUCGAAAAAUAGUGGAUUAAUUGUCUGAUAGGUGAACUAAAAGCAAAAUAAAUAAUUUAGCUGCUCCUAGUUUUUACUGGUUGGUAAAAAGCCACAAAUGAAUAUAUCGAUAUUAUAAUAAUUUUCUUAAAACUCCAGUACCUAAAUAAAAAGUGAGUAAAAUUCAGCGUUCCGUGGCCGUUAUCAGCAGGUGCCGUGACGUAUCGCGCUAUCGAGAGCCGCGCACCUCAUGUGUUUAUCGCUCCAACACGACUAAGUGAAUUCGAUGUAAAUCCUACCAGCCAGUACAUUCCGUCUGAUAAACUCCAACUGUGACUAAAUAUUUACUUAUAAAUGCUUUGUUUUAGCCGUGUUUGUUUGCUCGCUCUAUGGGCCGUUAAAUUUGCUGUCACUUGGGACUUAACGGAGUGUGAAGAGUGCGUUGAUGCACACUUGUCUUCUGAACGCGAUUUAAGAAAGAUUAAGACUGAUUGAAAGAUGUAGGCUGCUGUAUAGACUUAUUUCUUCACUCAUCAAAAUGUUAGAGAGAAAACACUACAUGUUCCGCUUCAAGACCCAAAUUUUCUCCCGCCUUUCCUUAUACAAAUACCUCCCACAAUUAUGAGCAUUUCACUUCGCUUAAGUAUGCAUUAGUUUGAGAAAACACAAGCUUGGCCUGCUUUGGCAAAGUUGUUGUUCUCAAAAUAUAAAUAAAGAAGUUUGGAGUCGAUUAGGGAUAAGUGGGACAUGUGUCGUAAUAAUGAGACAAAAUUGUUGAGGUCACAUACUUCCACGCAGUGUCAAUGCAAAAACGGAAAGAUGAUGAGACUUUAAUGACCGCCUACUCUGUACUUCUAUUUGGAUCACAAGGAAUUUAUGCAGGUUUGAUUUAAAAUCUAAAAGCGGUCCAUAGCAAAGAAUAUAGUGCCCAUUGAAAAGGUUGUCGAUAUGACAUUGUUCAACGUUGAUGCGGACGAAAUCACGAAAAGAUUUGAUUACAGCACCAUUGGACAAUCCGCUAUCAUAUCAGCUACAAAUACAAUAGAUAAGAAUGAAUAACGGGCGGCGUCCACCGGCGGCCGUUUACAAAUAACACAGGAACCGAUUUGUAAAUAAAUUAAACGUAACCAAAUCACUGUUAUGAACAAAACGGACGAUGAAACCGGCCUCGGAUGUCCACCCGGUGUAAAACCAUUGUUUGUGUUUACAAGUACCUCGACAAUCAGUUGAGCAAUCAUUCUUUCCGAUUGAGCAAAUUCAGCAGGUGACAGAGCGUUGUCGCCUCGUGUGUCAGUAAUUUCUUUGUGUUCCACUUCGACGUUUAUUUCAUUUACAUUUUUUACGUCAUCGGUAAAUUGAGUCGGUUCAGUUAGGAAAACAACAAGCGUGUACGAUUGGGCGAUCGUAAAUCAUCGUGCUGAUCGACGGGGGCUGGGAUCAGCGCGCGAGUCAGGUGUCGCUAGUAAACAGUCGCAGGGUUGUCCGCUCAGGGGCCGGGGCUCGCCGACCCUCGUCGGUAUAUGGAGCGGACCAGUGGCGCGAACAUUCGCGGCACGUCCUUUGUUGGCCGUUUUGUUUUGGAGUACCAUCCGGUUCCUGGUGGUGGGGCGGAGGGGGACAGGUGGGCGCAGGUAGCGCGCGCGGCGGCAGUCAGUCCACUUCGGCGCGUCGGGCUGCGCGAGCGCCUCGCCCGUUCAUAAAUACUAUCUAAUAUGGAAAUGGCCAGUCAUUCCGCGACAGGUGCGCGCCCGCGGCGUUCGUGCACGUGUGCUGUUAGUGAGUGCGCCGGCGCUGCCACCGCACCACCGCUUCAUGACCGACGAACUAUGGAAUGUUAAACGAACCAGCUCCAAAUUUCUAUAUAAAAUGGUAAGUGUUUUAAAUUAUAUUUCAAGAUUAUUUUAACGUAGAGCAUACUCGCAUAGCGUUUAUUUAGAACACGGCAUUCAAACUCAUUUCUUAAAUGUAGACUCGACAUUAAACUUUUUUGUGACACUGGCCACUGACAAUAAAAAUUGUUGUCGUACAGAUAAUUUAAAAUGAGAACACAGAAUUGCUGGCCAUUAGAUUUAAAAAAUAUAACCAUCUAUUGUCAAAUGUUUGCUUCAAGUUUUGCGUAGUCAUUAUUUUGUUGGACACGUUUUAAAAGGUUUUCAGUUAUUAAAAGUAAAAUAAAGUUUAAAGGCUUUAUAGUAGUGAAUUAGAACUUCUGUGACAUAUAAAAAUACUGUAAGGUUAAGGAUUCAAUACAAAUUACUUUUAGAAACAAAAAAAAUAAGUAUUAAAGAAGUGUUACUUUUAUGCCGCGUAUUACAACUGAUUCAAGUUUUUAACCAAAAAUGUUGAAUAGACGAAUAAUGCUUCACAAGAAUGAUAAUCGCGGGACAUGGUAAUUGCCAUGACGUGUAUCCGAACGUACCUAGUCGUCACGCAACGAUGACUGCCCCUACCACGACACUUUCAAGUUUAAUUCCGAAACGAUUUCAUUCCCUUCUGCGCUAUACAUCGUUGAGGUCAGUCGUUCGUGCCAGUGCAUAGUGUAAACUUGUGCCGCAAUGGAUUGAAAACUAGUUUGAAAUGAGUUUGUGUGAACUAAGUGCGGUCUAUGGUAGUCUAAUCGAAGUCCAAGGUCUUUCGCUGUGCUGUUUAUUUCAGUUGAUGAACCGCAAACUUAUUACAACAACAUAAGUUUCUGGAAGUGUACAGAAACUACAACGGAAAGUAGGUAAGCAAUUCAUAUUUAAUGCUAAAACCUAGCGUUAAAAGGAUUCUACCACCAACGCUUGUUCUAGUACCUGUGCCAAAAAGAGAUGCCACUAGCUUUGUAGAGCACUGCCUCUCUUCUACACCUGCACUCUAACUCGACUCCAAGUGUGUCGUCACAUGAGUUCACGACCCGCACAUUUUUAUGCGCUCGCGCACCUAUAUGUGAACACGUGGGAAUGAGUAUUGUAGUUAUGUUGCCGUGUUCCAGGAAACUAAUGAACCGGUUCAAGUAGUGUUGGAUGUUUUUGACAAAGUCGUUAGUUCUGUAGCUUGAGUUUACAUUAAAAAUGCUUGUAACCUGCUUCAGUAUAACAGAAUAGGUAGAGAAUCUUUUGUUCAAGCCGUGUUGAGGUUGGUUUCCAGCCGAAAUGCUCUUGUAAAUUAUGAGACUUUAAUAAUAUUAUUUGUAGCUUUGUGCUUUUAAUACGUUCAGAUAUACUGCAACACUUAUUUUGAAACUUUUUUUUUUGACUUACACUUUGUCACCCUCCUUUUUGAUUCUCAGCACACUUGCUGUGGUAUAUUUUUUCUUUCGAUAAUUGCUUAAGUGGCAUGUUGUAUACUUGUUAAGGAAUACAAGCACAAACGCUCGGUGUAAACUUGGUGUAUUCAUAACUUUAGUCUUAGCAUAAACAAAGCUUUAGAAGUAGUUCUAGUACUAAGAUCGUAACUUUUGCUGUACUAUAGCUCAUUCAUUGCUAUUAAAUUUAUGUAUCUACCGAUCAAGAUAAUGCGAAAUAAUUUGUACUAAACGCAAUAGUUAAUGUGGGUGGCAAUACUGCAA